UUUCAGUGCAAAUUUUUCUUAUUUAGGUAUUAAUCAAAUGGUAUUAUUAUUAUUUUGGCUUGUUUUCCCCUGUUCAUUUAUGUAAUUACCAGGCAUAUAUUUGUUGUUUUGGUCUUGGAUUGAGCUGAAGACAAAGACUAUUGAGUGUGACCUCUAAAGUCAAUCUUAAAGUAACAGGCAUAGCACAGUAGUUAUAAUAAUUUUUGUGUAGGUAAAUUGUACAGUGUUCAAGUUUUGUUAAUCACUUAUAAUAUAUAUUCAUAUUUUCCCCCUGGAAAUACAUAGGCAUCACGAAUUGUCUUUAGUAACAGGAGGAACGAUUACCUAGAAAUACAAACUUGAUCAACUGAAAAUUAGGAAAUUGAUUCUGCCAAAUAGAUGAAAUUAGUUGGGGCCACUAUUUUCUGUGUUCAGUGUAGAUAAUAAAGACUCACUGAAUUGUUCUACUGAGGCCAAAUAGAAUGAGACAGACCAGGUGAGUGGGGAAGCAAAGUCAGCUUUAAGUUCAGUGAUGGUGAAGGCCAUUGGAAAAGUAGUUUCCUUGCUGAAAUGUACUGUCCAGGUAAGAUAAGUGUAAUUUUAAACUUUAUGACUAUGUAUAAUUAUAUUCAAGAAUAUAGCUAUAUUCUUUAAUUUACCCUCAUUGUAAAUGUAUCCAGAAUCGUAUAGCUAGUAAGUGCAAUGGGAUCUGAACUCAAACUGUCUGGCUCUAAAACUCAUGCUUGGAAUCACCAUAAAGCAUUGCCUCUGUCCACCAAAAGAAUUUUGCAGAAUAUUCUCAAUGCCAGAUGUGAAGCAACAUUUGUAUCUUGAAAUUUUUUAUAGGUCAUUCCUCUAUCUGGGGAAGCAUUCUUAAAUCCUUAUUACCACGAUCCACCUGACAAUGUCAAGCAUCAAAGGCACAUCAUCUCUGUACAGAAUUAUUUCCCUGCUGUAGCAAAGGCUAUUUUACAUUCGCAUGGGUAUAACAGAAAAUCAACACAAGUGCUUCUGGGGCUGAAGAAUCUAAGCCACAAAGCAGGAUUAAAGGGAGCUGAGUUUUUGAGAUUAAUAUUUUGGAUGAGAGAAAACAUUUGAAAGGAGUUCAGGGAAAACAUAUUCUUUUUUACACCAGAAAUGGCUUAACUGAUGGUAUUACAGUUUAAUUGCUAAAUGGUUUAACUGAUGAUAAACAGCAUGGAAAUAAGUUUUAAUAAGGAACCUAAACAUUAGUUGACAGUACUGCAUAUAUAAUUAUAAGCUGAAAUAAGCUCCUUUCGAGGCAGAGUGAAAUUAAUAGGAGAUCUACUAUAAUCUGUUGAGUUGGCAUUGGUUGAAUUAUUUUUAGAGGAAGUUGAAGGAUAUGUUGAAAUGGGAUGAAGGGAAAAGUGAAAACAUAAGCAGCUUAAUCCAGUGAAGGCUUCCUUGCUCUAAACUGGCACAUCCUGAAAUUCACUAAGAAUGUGUAUUAAUAUGAGAAAAGCAAUCAUGAUGUCAUAAAGGGAGGCAUUUUAAGGUAUUAACUUUGAUAUUAAUCUCUGAAAUAUGUUCUGUGUAAUUCAUGCCAGUCAGAAAUAUUACUUUUUGAAAAUUAUAGCCGUAAAGGCGGUGCUCCAUAAGCAUUAUGUUACAUUUUGGAAUUUUUCUAUGUGCAUUUUGGAGCAUUUUACUGCCCCUAAGAGAACAAUUUGUAUGUUUUGCCUAUGACUGUCAACCCUGAAAUACACAGGGCUAUUUUUCUUCUUCAGGAGAAGUGAGUUCAAAGGAAAAUAUUCAUAAAAGAGCAUUCAUAACCUUGGCAUCUAAAAAAAUCAUGAGCCUGUUGUUGUAGCUUGAGGGCUGUGACUGGAAAAGACAGAUCCUUCAAAAUGGAGAGAUGUUUUAGAUAGUGAAGCACUUGUCAUAAGAACAAAGCUGCCCAUGUUUCCAGCUCCAGCUUCAAAUCCUUAAACAGUUUAUACCAUGAAGCUUCUUUCUUCCAUCAAAGAAAUAUAUUCAUUAUGAUGCUACAGCAAAAACUGAACAUUUGCCCCAGCAGCUUGGCCCAGAUGGAGGUGAUUACUUUGCAUAAAGGAGGAAUGGGGCCUAAAUCUGGGAAAUGAAGGCUUGGAGAUAAAGGAAAUAAAUAAAGAUAAAUUGAAGGAGACUAUUCAGGACACCCACAGUAAUUUAAAGCAAAGUGAAUGUAGGAAAUCUGAAGAAAUUAUUAAAGUUCACUAGGUGUGAAGGCAAGACUUUUCGUUAACUUCUGGCUUCAAAGAUGAAUGUAAGAAAGAUUGAGGUUUCCCUCUCAGUUUCAGGGCCACUUUCGACACAGCCUGAAACUCUAAAAACUGUUUUGAAGUGGUUUUACUUCCUCCCCUUACUCCCUCCUUCUGUCUCACUUCUCUAUGUUUAUGGCACAUCUUUUUCAGCUUUCAAACAGCAAAAUGACUGCUUUGUUGCAAAGGGCUGAUGCUACUGUGCAAAGCUACUACUGUGCUUCAUGGAAGGGCUGAGGCAAGAGAAGUUGCUAGUUAAUUGAACCAAUAGAGUGGUACAGGAUCCCUCUCUAAUCUUCUUGAACAUGAAAAUUGUCCCCAGACUCCUGGCAGACAGUCUGCAACAGUUGAAGAGAAUGACAGUUUUGAAGAGAGCGGGGAUGAAAAGACUGUCUGUGUUGGGGCUGUGUCCCUUCCCCUGAGUUUGCUUGGCGAGCUCACGCAAUGUGAAGUCAUCUAAUGGUGCUCGUAUUUCAAAGACAAGGCAUGGACCCUAGCCCACUCUGCUGGCCAGUGGAGAGUUUAGACUGUGAGUUUGAGAAUCAAUAUCAAGAGCACACAACUGCCAAGAAGAAAAAGCAACAUGGCUUAAAGCAAAAAAAGCAACAACAACAAUAACAACAAAAAACACCCAAAUUCACAAAUAUGACAAAGGUAGCCUCAAAAUAGAUUAAAAACUGACAAGUUUAUAAAUAGCACCGAAAACUUUAUUCUCUUACACUUGCUUAGCCCUCUGUGGUACAGAAAGUCCUUGGCAUUCAUGGAUUUUAUAAUUGUGGUUUUGGCUAAUGAAGAAUGACAUAAAUUAUGUGCCUAAAGAGAUCAGCGUGGAGAAGUGAAUGGGCAUGGCGGCCCCCUGCCAUCAGGGUCACUGUUCCUUAGUGCUCAUGAAACCUCUGCCGAGACAACUGUUCUUGCUGGAGAUGCAAUUAAAGAGACAGCACUGAAUCCAGAACCCCAUCUCUUCUGAUCCUUAUGCACUCUUCUCCGAUGUGUUAAGACUCUCAACUUAGGUAAGCACUUCCUCCUCCACACAGUCCUGACUGUCAGUGAUCCAAGCGAGUUUUUGACUUUUGGUGACCAAGUCUGUGGGCUGGGGGAUGGAAUGUCCUCAAGUAUUUUGACUAAUGCCCAUCCCUGUAACUGGGUGGAGGGUCACUCCCACCAAACCACAGGGAUAAAGGUGGGGACAGGGAGGUGUAGAGAAAGGAUGCUGUACAAAUAAGAACACCAGAUGUCCACUCUAGUAGGCAAGUGACUGCGUGUCUUAUUCAUGGUGCCACACUUCCUUUCUCUUAUGAACCAUGUGGCAAUAAAUGGUGUCAGAAUGGAGAUACACUUGCUCUCCAUAAAAUGUGUGGUUGAAGUCUCAGAAGAAGACCACAAGAGUUAUAAAGCAUUCUGUGCUUCAGAUGAGUAAGAGGUUCCUAAAAUACAGCUGCUCAUGCUUCAUUUUUUUGCAGUGAAAUGAAUUUGUCAAAGAAAAGCAGAGUUGCUUCAACUAAAGCACAGAUUCUUCAAGAUCAUCAUAUUUCUUCUCUAAACCUACAGGUAAAUAGAAAGAGCUUAGAAAGUUUUGUCCAAGGGAAGAAGGGUAGACUUGUUUACCCUUCAUUGUGACAGAAGACAGAGAUUGCUUAUUCAAAACUCCAGGAAAAAUUGAGAACCCUGAAGAAUUGACCAGGAAAUGUAUACUUCUCUGCUAUAGAAAGCUGGCAGUCAUGGAUGAGACUUUGUCCAGAGGCAGCCUGAAGAUCAGGGAAGAAUUUGCUGAACGGCUGUGAAUGUUUCAAUCCAGCAGUGUUUUUUUUUCCUUUUUUUUUCAAGAUCAGCAUUGAAGACAGCACUUUGCUUCUUAUACCACAAAAUAUGUAUUUCUUACAUUGCUCCUUAGAGGCCCAUAAAUUAUCAAGCCAGUGAAGGAGGGCUAGCCAGAUCAUAGGUCUCCACCAAGGUCAUAAUCAGAUCACCUUACCAGUGAAGAUUGAACUGAGAUUGUUGUUCAGGAAUUGGGAUCAAGAGAGUAGAAUACAAGUGCCUUGGAACUGAAAUAGACCUUAGAAAUCAUCCAGCUGUGGUUCUUGCCCUCAGCUUUAGACUUUCCCUGGGGCAGCAAGGCAGAUAGGGCCUCUCUCCACAGUCUUGUUCCUUUCCAGUAGUAGAAUGUGCUGCAAUGGUUUCCAAAGAUUUGUGCUUUAAGCAGUAGAACUCUUCCCCCACAGUCAAGGAUUUCUCGCAUGGAAACCUCAAAGAUAAAAGUAGAGCAGAUCUGGUUGAAGCAAGGAGAAAACCUUUGGCCAAACCUUAUCCAAAUCCCCACCAUACUUCUCCCCACCCACUCCCACAGGGACUCUUGAUCACUCCCAUGAAACUAGGACUCUGCAGAACAGAGCUCAGAAUGUGGAACAUAUUUACUUUUUUUCCUUCCCAACCUCUUUUCUCACUCACCUUUUACUUUUACUUCCAUGAAAUUGCAAUCUCUCUCAAAGAGUGUUAGCUACCAGCUUCUGUCUCAGGCUCUGAUUUCUAGGGACCAGUCCUGUUAGCCAGUCACCUUUUCUCUCUCUUUUAAAACAGUUCUUAUCGCUGUUACCUAUUUGCUAAUUUGUAUAUUAUCUCUCUUUUCCCUUUAGAAGCUGAGCUCAGAAGAAGAGGAGGGACUUUGUUUCAUUUAUUGCUAUGGUCUCAGUGACCAGCCCAGUCCUUGGCACACAGUAGAUGUGCUUUAAAGACAUGUUGAAUGAAUGAUGAGGAAACUUGUCUUUCCCAAUACCAGACCUUCAACCAGGAUGAUGCACUUCUAAGUCACGUACUCAAUACAAAUGUAAUCGUCUUGACACACCUUGCUUUUAAUCUGCCCUUGAUCUUGUUCCCCACUCCCUCAUUUCUCACCUGUAGUAAUGCAGCAACCUCCCAGAUAGAUUCCCUGAAGCCAUUCUGCCCUCCUUCAAUCUGGACUCCCUGCAACAGUCAAGAGAAAUUUUUUAAACAUGUGAAUCAGAUUUCAUCACUAUGCAGUCUGACACCUUCUGAUAACAUGUCAUUGCAUUAAGAAUUAAUACGAACUCGGUGCUGUGGCUUACCAGCCCUACUCAAAACUCGCUUUCUCAGCUGCAGCCCCACCUGCCUCUGCUUUUGUUCCUCAAACUUCCUAAGCUCUUUCCUGACAUAAGAAGACUCGGGGACAUUCUUUCUCUCUACCUGGAAUUCUCCUUUAUUCUCAAUUCAGUCUCUUCCUUGACCUCUCAGAGUCUUCCCUCCCAUCUCCUUAUCUAAAACUGUUUCUUCCCUGUAUAUAUCUCUCUCAGCACUUUGCUCAUUUUCUUCAUUAUAUUUAUUUCAACUUGUCAUUAUUUUUUGGGGGAGGACUGUCUCCAUUACCAAAUUAUAAGUCUUAUGCAUUUAUUAUUGUAUUUAUUAUUGCAUUCCCAAUGACUUGCAGAGAUAUUAGCAUGUGGCAGAUUUUAAUAAAUAAUUGGUGAUUAAAAAAAUACUCAGGUGUCGAUCUG